CUCCUCUGGGGGUGGGGGGCUGGGCGCGGUGGACGGUGAUGCAGCCCCCGCCUUCUCACCCUCAG
rnacentral:miRNA from 1 species